UACGAAGGUCCCGAGCGUUGUUCGGAAUCACUGGGCGUAAAGGGAGCGUAGGCGGCGUGGCAAGUCAGACGUGAAAUGCCGGGGCUCAACCCCGGAACUGCGUCCGAUACUGCCGCGCUAUCGAGGGUUGGAGAGGUGGCUGGAAUUCUUGGUGUAGCAGUGAAAUGCGUGGAUAUCAAGAGGAACACCCGUGGCGAAAGCGAGCCACUGGACAACACCUGACGCUGAGGCUCGAAGGCCGGGGUAGCGAAAGGG
rnacentral:rRNA from 1 species